AGACACGUGGGAGGCAGCCAUGUAGGUGAACACUGCAGCUCACACCUGCCCUGUGUCCUCCGUGGGUGACACCCGGCGGUCCACACCUGAAGCCCUGAUGCCUGGGGGUUCUCUAGAUGUCUGGGGACUGCGUCUAUUCAGCCCGUGCCCCCUGUGCUAUGGUGAAUUUCCCAUUCUCCCUUGUGGGGAGAAUGAAGAAGUCAUGUGACAAACUUCUGACCAAAGGAGCAAAGAUUGGCACCCCACUGGAAGGUCAACGCAGCUUCUUCAGCCUCUGAUGUAGACUGAAGACCAACAAUCCUACAGAAAGCUUCCGGCCUUCUGACACUAAGCUAGGGCUACUGAGACCUCCAGGCCCGGGGUAUCGCUUCCCAGAGAACCCAACACGCAGGCAGUUGUUGGGCUACAAGGCUGUACCAUUUCAACCAGUGUUUGUUGGUUCUCUACCUAGUCCAUAUUCUGAAUUCCACAUCCCCAGAUUCAAACAGCUAUGACUGUGAACAGUCAGCCACACACCUCGAUCAUAGACUGGCCUCUCCCUUGGCGCCCGGCAAACAAUACAAGAUCAGUGCUGGUUCCAUGAUGCGUACAGCACCUAGAGAAACCUGAAGUUUUCCAGACCGCCCCGCUGCCAUGGCAACAGCAGGAGAAACAAACAAAGCUCACAUCAAGCGACUGAACACAAAGCCUGUACCAUUAUUUUAACAAUCAGCAAUGGCCGUGUGAGAGCAGCAGGCUUUCAGGGCACCGCCACCAACGUGUCUCUCUUGAGAUGCCUUGAAGUGCUCACCGACACGUGGGCGCCUUGGCACUCAGAUCAUGUCUCCAGCUUGGAGUUCCCACUUGUAUAGACCCUUACUGCUGACAGCAGUCACCAAUUCCUGGGCUUGGGAAGCCAGGUGGCCAAAUGGUUAGAGGCUCCAGCCUCAGGCCAAGCAGCCCUGGGUGCAAAUCCAAGCCCUGCACCUUCCAAGCUGGGGAUGGAAGAAAGGGCAGCACUGGUACAACUACAUCUCCCUGCUGAGCCUCUGCUUACCUGGUGCAGCGUGAAGAUCUGCUUGGGGAGUCAUUCACAUUUUAACCUGGCUUUAUUGAAAACCUGCUGGAGCUUC
rnacentral:lncRNA from 1 species